GAAAUGCGAUAAUUAAUGUGAAUUGCAGAAUUCAGUGAAUCAUCGAGUCUUUGAACGCACAUUGCGCCCCCUGGUAUGCCGGGGGGCAUGCCUGUCCGAGCGUCAUUGCUGCCCUCAAGCACGGCUUGUGUGUUGGGCUUCCGUCCCUGGCAACGGGGACGGGCCCAAAAGGCAGUGGCGGCACCAUGUCUGGUCCUCGAGCGUAUGGGGCUUUGUCACCCGCUCCCGUAGGUCCAGCUGGCAGCUAGCCUCGCAACCAAUCUUUUUAACCAGGUUGACCUCGGAUCAGGUAGAGAUACCCGCUGAACUUAGGC
rnacentral:misc_RNA from 1 species